rnacentral:rRNA from 1 species
UACGAAGGGGGGCUAGCGUUGUUCGGAAUUACUGGGCGUAAAGCGCACGUAGGCGGAUCGAUCAGUCAGGGGGUGAAAAUCCCCAGAGCUCAAACUCUGGAACUGCCUUUUGAUACUGUCGAUCUGGAGUAUGGAAGAGGUGAGUGGAAUUCCGAGUGUAGAGGUGAAAUUCGUAGAUAUUCGGAGGAACACCAGUGGCGAAGGCGGCUCACUGGUCCAUUACUGACGCUGAGGUGCGAAAGCGUGGGGAGCAAACAGG